AUGCGGCUGGACAGGGCCACGGGCGCCAAGUGCUUCCUGAUUUCGGCGAGGGCGCUGCAUAUUUCGCGGGGCGAGACGCCCGCCUCCUGGCAAUGGAUCCACCUCCGCAGCGACGAGAUGCAAGGAAACGAGAGGUUCUCGGAAGCAGUCAGGCUCCGCAAGGUUUCGUGGUUGGAAAUCUGUGCCAAGAUGCAAUGUAGGAUGCUCUCGCAGAACUCGGCAUACGCCACUUACAUGGUGUUCAAGCUGGCAGAUAGUGGGUUCAACAAGCUGGAUUAUCCGUUUCAGGUGGCGUCAGUCGGCAUUGGAUGGUAUCGUUCAACACGGAAAGUUUGCCUGCAAGGCUACAUGGAGGUUGGGGAUGACGGGGUGACUCGCAAACAUAUUUGGAGGUCUAGCUGGGAGGAAAAUUGGCGGCCUUGCAAGCGCAGUCGCGUUACUGGCGCAAUUCAUCUCAAGGACAAGAUUGUGCUCCCUUGGAGAAGGGCUGACUGCUGGAUGGAGGUCGAGCUGGGUGAGUUCUACAACGAGGAAGGCGGCGAUGGCGAGGUGUCUGUCGGCCUAAUGCAGACAACCGGAGGAUACAAGAGUGGCCUUGUUGUGUUGGGUGUUGAGAUUAGAUCUAAACAAUGA
rnacentral:rRNA from 1 species